rnacentral:rRNA from 1 species
UGGGGAAUUUUGGACAAUGGGCGAAAGCCUGAUCCAGCAAUGCCGCGUGUGUGAAGAAGGCCUUCGGGUUGUAAAGCACUUUUGUCCGGAAAGAAAUCCUUGGCUCUAAUACAGUCGGGGGAUGACGGUACCGGAAGAAUAAGCACCGGCUAACUACGUGCCAGCAGCCGCGGUAAUACGUAGGGUGCAAGCGUUAAUCGGAAUUACUGGGCGUAAAGCGUGCGCAGGCGGUUUGCUAAGACCGAUGUGAAAUCCCCGGGCUCAACCUGGGAACUGCAUUGGUGACUGGCAGGCUAGAGUAUGGCAGAGGGGGGUAGAAUUCCACGUGUAGCAGUGAAAAUGCGUAGAGAUGUGGAGGAAUACCGAUGGCGAAGGCAGCCCCCCUGGGGCCAAUACUGACGCUCAUGCACGAAAGCGUGGGGAGCAAACAGGAUUAGAUACCCUGGUAGUCCACGCCCUAAAACGAUGUCAACUAGUUGUUGGGGGAUUCAUUUUCCUUAGUAACGUAGCUAACGCGUGAAGUUGACCGCCUGGGGAGUACGGUCGCAAGAUUAAAACUCAAAGGAAUUGACGGGGUCAUAGCUGUUUCCU